CACGUAGGGCGCAAGCGUUGUCCGGAAUUAUUGGGCGUAAAGAGCUCGUAGGCGGUCUGUUGCGUCCGCUGUGAAAACUCGGGGCUUAACCCCGAGCCUGCAGUGGAUACGGGCAGACUAGAGGUAGGUAGGGGAGAAUGGAAUUCCCGGUGUAGCGGUGAAAUGCGCAGAUAUCGGGAGGAACACCGGUGGCGAAGGCGGUUCUCUGGGCCUUACCUGACGCUGAAGCGCGAAAGCGUGGGGAGCAAACGGG
rnacentral:rRNA from 1 species